AGCAGCUGUACUUCCGCCAGGUGAGGAGGCCGUGAUCGCAGCCUCGGGGCUCCCACCCGGCUGUCGCCUGAUCAGACUUAGGAUUGAAAGUGCUUGAAAAGAGUGAUCCAAAAUGCCUGAAAACCCUGCUGCAGAGAAAAUGCAGGUCCUGCAGGUCCUCGACCGCCUGAGGGGGAAGCUGCAAGAGAAGGGAGACACGACGCAGAACGAGAAGCUGUCUGCGUUUUAUGAGACGCUGAAGAGCCCUCUCUUCAACCAGAUCCUUACACUGCAGCAGUCCAUCAAGCAGCUGAAGGGACAGCUCAGCCAUAUCCCCUCAGAUUGUUCAGCCAACUUUGACUUUUCUCGGAAGGGCUUGUUAGUGUUCACGGAUGGUUCCAUUACAAAUGGGAAUGCCCACAGGCCU
rnacentral:lncRNA from 1 species